rnacentral:lncRNA from 1 species
UGGUGCUGUGGUGGUGUUCUUAUUAUUUCUCGUAGUGGAUGGUUUUGGGGCGCUUGAGUAGCAGGGUGUUGUGGGGGAAGGAAGCAGUGGCACUGGUGCUCUACCGUAUUGUGUGCAGGCAGGCAGGCUGUGUGAGUGUGUGUGUGAGUGAGUAUGUGUGUGUGUGUGGCAAAGGGUACAGGCUGCAUCCAUCUAGGCAGCUCUGUUGAUUCUGUAGGGCUUAGUCCUUCUACCUCUCUCUUUCUCUCUCGCUCGCUCGCUCGCUUGCUGUGUAGGGCUGCAUUUGUGUAGGUGAGUACCCAAAUCCCCCAAAAUAGCGCUUCUAGAAGUUGUGUGCUCUAAAGCUGCUGCUGCAUCUCGCGGUGGUGUCAUGGUCGUUAGUGAAGUGGUCGCGUGUUUGUUUCAAUAGUGAUGGAGGUUGGGUUGAUUGGUAGGAGUGUUGGUGUUGUGUGCAGUGGAAUGUGGUUUUGUUGUUUGUGGAGGUGAGAGGUCAGAGAGAGCUCGGGUGGCCUACUAGACUGGCAAUUGUUGUCAGGCAUAGAUGGUGUGCCUGCGGAGGCGUCAUGUGAUGAUGGUGUAGCUGAGGUAGUGAACUCUGUUCAGAGCUUUGUAGCCUGUAGGUUGCGUUGUUUUGGGUGUUUCUGUAGGAAUGAAUGAUGACUGUGGCUUCUGUCUGGUUAUGUGAGUACUCCAUUUGUUUCACUAGGAGAGGCGGGCGGUUUCGGAUUGAUUGUUUUCUGAUUCUGGGGCGUGGAUUGAUGAAAUGAUUGCUCGCAAUCGGUAGUCAGCCUCGUGUUGGCGAUUAUGGUCCUGCGCUAGUCGUGGGAUUGGAAUGCUUGGUAGUUUUCUUAAGGGUGACUGAACGUAUGGGUUGGGUGGGUCCUCCCCAUGUGCAAGCCCUGCGAGGUUGAUCAUUGAACGUUUCGUUCACAGCAGCUGUGUGGUUGCUGCUUUUUUGGCGUUUUCGAUGAAUGCACCAUAGCCUAGCGAGGUCGGCUCACGCCUUGCUCUUGAGCUCUUGGUUUUGGGAUUGAAUUGAUUUUAGGUUGGACGUGAACAGCAGGAUCGGCUUCCUCACACUUCCUUUUUAGCAACCUUCGUGUUCUUGAGGUUACUAACAAUCGCCUCCCGAGAGUUCAAUUCCUUUCCCUUGUGAGCUAGUUGUGUAUGAAACACCGUUUUGGGAAAACAUUUUGGCGGAAUUGACACGGUUUGGAGUGCACGUCGGGAGAUAUGGUCUUUCUCGAAGCUUCAAUGACACCACCUAAAACUUAAUCACAAGCCAGGAAAUUCCUGCAGACAUCUAAGAAACACGUGAUAGAUCUGGUUGCUUCAGAGCACUAGGGUUCAAGGACCUCUGCAACGUUGCCAGCGCAGUUGGGUGUUACCAAUGGGAAGUGCUCUUAUGAAAUAUCACUGUGGGUCCUUUGGUCUAGGAGUUUGCUGAAGGAUAAAUUUAACUGGGAAAUCGUUUAACGAAGAAGGGUCUGAAAGCCAGCGCACGGUUUCCGAAAGCCAGCACACGAAGUGUCCGGCCCCUUUGUUUUCAACCGAUUUUGUUUGUCUCUUUAGGCACCAGUCUUUCUACCUUUCAAGCUAUAGUAGGCUUGCUCGCUUAUAUCUUUUAAAGAAAAGCCUUUCAGAAGCUUUCGUACUUCCUGUGGGGUCGUUGUGAGAUGCUUUCACUAUCCUUUGAUUGUUUCCUCGUCCUUUUCUUCUCUCAGAUGUGUUCUGCAGACUGAUUGAGAUUUUAUUUACUCCAAUUAGCAGUGCUGGCCCGGUAGAAGCUGACACUGGAAAUGACAUAAGGCUGAGUGUACUAGAAAUGUGGCUGGAGCUAAGUGCCGUGAGUUCUAGAUUGAUGUGUCCAUCUGUUCUGGAGACACUAUUGUGUACCAGCGUACAUUGUCAGGGGUCAGGUCACUCUGGUGCAGUCAGUGGGAUUGUGCCUCUCCUGCCUAAUUAAAUGAGACGUUCGAGAAAGUGUAAGUUGUGAGACUAGCAAUUAUGCUAUAGAUGAAUUUUUGGUUGUGCCCUGUCUAAAAUGCUACGUUGCAAGUCCCCUCCGUUUGAUAGUUUACUUUGUAACGUAAAUCACAUUAGAGCUCUCCUUAUCUCCUUAACUGAGUGUGUUGUUGUGUAGAAUAUGUUGGAGGAGGCUAUCGGAUGGUAUCAAGAGGGAGUUGUAGUUAGCGCAGACUUUGCUUCUACAUCUUGUUCCAUCUUCGGGUCAAUUUUGCAACAACCGAUACGACUAUUCCAAUCUUUACUGCAUUCCGUUGUGAGUGAUUUCCCUAUUUGCAAGGAUCUCAUAUUUGUGUCGAAAGAAGGCAUGCAAUCUCUAUGUCUACCAGCGCUUACU